GUGGUUAUAAGAACGCUCCCAUACCACUACACAAUAAAUAAACAGAUACAAGACUGGUUCUGGGUCUGUGUUGAAUGAGUUGCUAGGCCUCCACACUGCUGAGUUACAGAGAGAAAGAGGGGAACAGAAGAAUAAGAUGAGGAUUGGAGAGAAGUGGAGAUGCUCUCUAGCGUUUGUUAUCAUGAUAUGGAUAGUGGAGAUACUACCAGACAUGAACGUUUGUACAGCUGAAUCAGUGAAGGGCAACAAUAGUAGCUACCACUCAGAGCACUGCAGCGGCUCCCUCCAUGACUGCCAAUUCCCAGAUAUGGAGUGGCUGAUGGAUUCAGAAAUAAAUAGGAUGCUUGCUGAUCAGAAAAGUGGUAUUUAUAUAAGUAAGGCGGCCGCCGGAAACGCUAAGGAACCGGCUGUUGCUUGUGGGCGUGGUAAAGCUUAUAAAAGGUGCGUCCCCGAUAAAAAUCCAGUUCAUCGUGAUGAAGAAAAUUGUGAAGGCCUCUACAAUAAAAAUCGUGCAUGCUCCCACAGCUAACCACAGCAGUAAUUUCUUCUUCUGCAGGUUACCCUCGAACCUUCCAACAUCCGGAUAGAGCUUUAAAUUUUGUUGAACAUAGAUAGUUUAGGUGCUACUAGUACUCUCACACAAAGCGCAAACAUUACUAGGGCAGGAGAUGUGGUUGUGGCAAAUGGAAACCCUGAGCCCUGCAGAAUGGCUUAAUCAAAUAGGUGGCAGAAAAAAAGUUUGAGGAGAGUCGAUCAGUAUUUACAUACUCCAGGCUGAUACUUUAUCUAGAAAGGCAAGCAACAAAAUCAAAGGCAUUGAGAGCUUAAAUUAAUCUUGAGAGUUAUAGGAACCAAAGCUUUCAUAUAUGAUUGUUUCUUCAUCUCUCAUUAACUACAAAAAGGAUGAAUCUGAGAUGAAAUCCCAACUUAAUCUGAAUGGAUAAAUUGAAACAAACCCUCAGCAAAUUAAGAUUUGGAAUUGAAAUUUGGAAGGCUGUUUUUAAGAUUUAAGUUCCAAGCUUGAAUGAUUUUGGGAACUAUGGUGAGUGAACAAGUAAUGAAAACCUUUGCCACUUCAGAACAACUUAUUUAAAGCAACUCCAUCAACAAAUUUCAAGCCUGAUGAAAUACACUUACACUUUUUUCCAAGUUGAAAUUUCAAAGGCAUUAAACCCACUCUUAAAUACCAAAACAACCAGCAGACUGACAGAUUAAAUGUCGAAAGGACGAUAACUUUAAUGGAGGCAGUUGAUUUUGAAAUCAAGACAUCGAUGACCCGUUUGGUUUCAUCGGAUACGAGAUUUAUUGCAUUUCACCAACUACACAUACAAGGCGACGAAGGCAAACGAGCUGCAAGACGAGAGAAAAGAAGAGGAGGAGAUGGGAGUUGGAAUGAAGAGAGGUUCUGCACUGACCCUUUUUGUUGUGAUGAUGCUCCUUCACACAAAAACAUGUAGAGCUGCUACUUCACCGUUGAGGAAGAGCAACACCACCACCAUUAUCAAUGGGUGCAGUGGCAAUCUCCAAAAAUGCCUCAUAGGGGACGUAGACUCGGAGGAGUUGUUGCUGGACUUGGAAACGAGCAGCAGUCUGGUGCUUCUUAAUGUGGGAAAAUUUCUAGCUCUGAACACCAACGAGCCAAAGAAACCAGCUGUGCCUUGUGGCAAUAUAGAACUUGCUUCACCCAAAAAAAUAAAGUCCGAAAACAGCAGCAUUGUGGUAUUUACACUCGUAGAUGCUGAUGCAGAUGUUGAUGCUGGGCGUUAUGCCUCUCUCUCUCUCUGUUUCUAGCUAGCUUCCUUAGAAAAUUAUGAGUUCCUUGAAAUGUUUGUUCUUCAGUUCAAUGAUAUCUGAUGUAUUAAUAUUGUAUAAAAUUAGGGAUGUUAGUAAUUCCGCUAGUGCAAGAUGACUCUAAUUCUGUCUUCUUCCCUUACCAAUGUGCCACAAUUGAUGAUUGUUUCAUUCCAAGGUCAUGUAUUGAUGUUAUAUGAUUAUUCACUGAAAAGUUGUCUAGUUAUUGGCCA